AUUGAACGCUGGCGGCAUGCUUUACACAUGCAAGUCGAACGGUAACAGGUUAAGCUGACGAGUGGCGAACGGGUGAGUAAUGCAUCGGAACGUACCCGAUCGUGGGGGAUAACGCAGCGAAAGCUGCGCUAAUACCGCAUACGAUCUGAGGAUGAAAGCGGGGGACCGUAAGGCCUCGCGCGAUCGGAGCGGCCGAUGUCAGAUUAGGUAGUUGGUGGGGUAAAGGCUCACCAAGCCAACGAUCUGUAGCUGGUCUGAGAGGACGACCAGCCACACUGGGACGAAGACACGGCCCAGACUCCUACGGGAGGCAGCAGUGGGGAAUUUUGGACAAUGGCGAAAGCCUGAUCCAGCAAUGCCGCGUGCAGGAAGAAGGCCUUCGGGUUGUAAACUGCUUUUGUACGGAGCGAAAAGGCUCUCUCUAAUACAGGGGGCUCAUGACGGUACCGUAAGAAUAAGCACCGGCUAACUACGUGCCAGCCGCCGCCGUAA
rnacentral:rRNA from 1 species